rnacentral:rRNA from 1 species
GAUGAACGCUAGCGGCAGGCCUAAUACAUGCAAGUCGAGGGGCAGCACAGGUAGCAAUACUGGGUGGCGACCGGCAAACGGGUGCGGAACACGUACGCAACCUUCCUUCAAGCGGGGAAUAGCCCAGAGAAAUUUGGAUUAAUACCCCAUAAGAAUGUGGACUGGCAUCAGUCAGCAUUUAAAGAUUUAUCACUUGAAGAUGGGCGUGCGUCUGAUUAGGUAGUUGGUGAGGUAACGGCUCACCAAGCCGACGAUCAGUAACUGGCGUGAGAGCGCGACCAGUCACACGGGCACUGAGACACGGGCCCGACUCCUACGGGAGGCAGCAGUAAGGAAUAUUGGUCAAUGGACGGAAGUCUGAACCAGCCAUGCCGCGUGGAGGAUGAAGGCCCUCUGGGUUGUAAACUUCUUUUAUUUGGGACGAAACACUUCUUUCUAAGGAGC